UACGUAGGGGGCAAGCGUUGUCCGGAAUCAUUGGGCGUAAAGAGCGCGUAGGCGGCCAGAUAAGUCCGGUGUGAAAGUCCCAGGCUCAACCUGGGAAUGCCGUCGGAAACUGUCUGGCUAGAGUCCGGAAGGGGCCAGUGGAAUUCCCGGUGUAGCGGUGAAAUGCGCAGAUAUCAGGAGGAACACCAAUGGCGAAGGCAGCUCGCUGGGACGUGACUGACGCUGAGACGCGAAAGCGUGGGGAGCAAACAGG
rnacentral:rRNA from 1 species